rnacentral:rRNA from 1 species
GUGGGGAAUAUUGGACAAUGGGCGAAAGCCUGAUCCAGCCAUGCCGCGUGUGUGAAGAAGGUCUUCGGAUUGUAAAGCACUUUUAGUUGGGAGGAAGGGCAGUAAGUUAAUACCUUGCUGUUUUGACGUUACCGACAGAAUAAGCACCGGCUAACUUCGUGCCAGCAGCCGCGGUAAUACGAAGGGUGCAAGCGUUAAUCGGAAUUACUGGGCGUAAAGCGCGCGUAGGUGGUUUUGUAAGUUGGAGGUGAAAUCCCCGGGCUCAACCUGGGAACUGCCUCCAAAACUGCGGAGCUAGAGUACGGUAGAGGGUGGUGGAAUUUCCUGUGUAGCGGUGAAAUGCGUAGAUAUAGGAAGGAACACCAGUGGCGAAGGCGACCACCUGGACUGAUACUGACACUGAGGUGCGAAAGCGUGGGGAGCAAACAGGAUUAGAAACCCGGGUAGUCC